rnacentral:rRNA from 1 species
CAGUAGCCGCGGUAAUACAGAGGGUGCGAUCGUUAAUCGGAUUUACUGGGCGUAAAGCGUGCGUAGGCGGCUUCUUAAGUCGGAUGUGAAAUCCCUGAGCUUAACUUAGGAAUUGCAUUCGAUACUGGGAAGCUAGAGUAUGGGAGAGGAUGGUAGAAUUCCAGGUGUAGCGGUGAAAUGCGUAGAGAUCUGGAGGAAUACCGAUGGCGAAGGCAGCCAUCUGGCCUAAUACUGACGCUGAGGUACGAAAGCAUGGGGAGCAAACAGGAUUAGAUACCCCGGUAGUCCCUGUCUCUUAUAC